GAAAAUUAGCAGAGGAGUCAGCUUUAAGAGGCGUCUCAUAUGGGUUCAGCUGGCAGCCAGUCAGCUGCUGGGUAAAAUCCACAGGGUCUCACCAAACCUCGAAUUAGCUGUUUUCAGUGACAGAUUUGGAACUACCCUCUGAUGGAUUUUGAAUACUCUACAUUGCUUGAUUAUUUAUGUAUUGCAAACUACAAGGCAGGAAAAGAAAUAUGCAUAUAGAGUAACCUAAAUUACCAUCAGGAUUAAAAGAAGCAUGAGAGAGAGGGAUAGAAAGGAAGAUGCUUUCAUAGUCCACAGCACCAGCCUUCACUUGUGGUGGCUGAAGAAAUUAGGUCUGCCUGAAUUACUGUUGAAAUUAGAUGGCAGAAAUACAUGUAAUUAUUCUUUAAAUGUCCUGUAUGUCAUGGGAAACCUUGAAAGAAAGAACUUCAGGCAUCUGAAUUGAGCCAGAGCUGGAUCUACUGAAAAUUAAGGGACAGGUGAAACUUGAGGCCUGCCACCCCAGGGGAGGUAUUCAGGAAAAACAGGUGACUGGUG